rnacentral:piRNA from 1 species
UAAAGGUCAUUGAUGGUUUGCGUUUCUGAA